rnacentral:rRNA from 1 species
GAUGAACGCUGGCGGCGUGCCUAAUACAUGCAAGUCGAGCGAACGGACGAGAAGCUUGCUUCUCUGAUGUUAGCGGCGGACGGGUGAGUAACACGUGGAUAACCUACCUAUAAGACUGGGAUAACUUCGGGAAACCGGAGCUAAUACCGGAUAAUAUUUUGAACCGCAGGGUUCAAAAGUGAAAGCCGGCCUUGCGGUCACUUAUAGAUGGUUCCGCGCUGCAUUAGCUAGUUGGUAAGGUAACGGCUUACCAAGGCAACGAUGCAUAGCCGACCUGAGAGGGUGAUCGGCCACACUGGAACUGAGACACGGUCCAGACUCCUACGGGAGGCAGCAGUAGGGAAUCUUCCGCAAUGGGCGAAAGCCUGACGGAGCAACGCCGCGUGAGUGAUGAAGGUCUUCGGAUCGUAAAACUCUGUUAUUAGGGAAGAACAUAUGUGUAAGUAACUGUGCACAUCUUGACGGUACCUAAUCAGAAAGCCACGGCUAACUACGUG